UACAGAGGGUGCAAGCGUUGUUCGGAAUUAUUGGGCGUAAAGCGUGCGUAGGCGGUUCGUUAAGUCUGUUGUGAAAGCCCCGGGCUCAACCUGGGAAUGGCAAUGGAUACUGGCGAGCUAGAGUGUGUCAGAGGAUGGUGGAAUUCCCGGUGUAGCGGUGAAAUGCGUAGAGAUCGGGAGGAACAUCAGUGGCGAAGGCGGCCAUCUGGGACAACACUGACGCUGAGGCACGAAAGCGUGGGGAGCAAACAGG
rnacentral:rRNA from 1 species